GCCGCGUGCAGGAAGACUGCCCUAUGGGUUGUAAACUGCUUUUAUACAGGAAGAAACACUGCUACGUGUAGCAGCUUGACGGUACUGUAAGAAUAAGGAUCGGCUAACUCCGUGCCAGCAGCCGCGGUAAUACGGAGGAUCCAAGCGUUAUCCGGAAUCAUUGGGUUUAAAGGGUCCGUAGGUGGAUAAUUAAGUCAGAGGUGAAAUCCUGCAGCUCAACUGUAGAAUUGCCUUUGAUACUGGUUAUCUUGAGUUAUUAUGAAGUAGUUAGAAUAUGUAGUGUAGCGGUGAAAUGCAUAGAUAUUACAUAGAAUACCAAUUGCGAAGGCAGAUUACUAAUAAUAUACUGACACUGAUGGACGAAAGCGUGGGGAGCGAACAGGAUUAGAUACCCUGGUAGUCCACUGNNGCCUCCCGUAGGA
rnacentral:rRNA from 1 species